rnacentral:rRNA from 1 species
AUUGAACGCUGGCGGCAGGCUUAACACAUGCAAGUCGAGCGGAGAUGAGGUGCUUGCACCUUAUCUUAGCGGCGGACGGGUGAGUAAUGCUUAGGAAUCUGCCUAUUAGUGGGGGACAACAUUCCGAAAGGAAUGCUAAUACCGCAUACGCCCUACGGGGGAAAGCAGGGGAUCUUCGGACCUCGCGGUAAUAGAUGAGCCUAAGUCGGAUUAGCUAGUUGGUGGGGUAAAGGCCUACCAAGGCGACGAUCUGUAGCGGGUCUGAGAGGAUGAUCCGCCACACUGGGACUGAGACACGGCCCAGACUCCUACGGGAGGCAGCAGUGGGGAAUAUUGGACAAUGGGCGGAAGCCUGAUCCAGCCAUGCCGCGUGUGUGAAGAAGGCCUUUUGGUUGUAAAGCACUUUAAGCGAGGAGGAGGCUACCUGGAUUAAUACUCUAGGAUAGUGGACGUUACUCGCAGAAUAAGCACCGGCUAACUCUGUGCCAGCCGCCGCAGUAAGAC